ensembl:snRNA U6 U6 spliceosomal RNA
GUGCAUUGGUAGCACAUAUCCUAAAAUUGGAACAAUACAGAGACCAUUAGCAUGACUCCUGUGCAAGGAUAACAUGCUAAUUCACGAAAUAUUCUAUAUUCUA